CUUAUCACCACGUAGCAGUGGGUGCUCCAUAAGAUCCUCCUGCGUGAGUAAGUGAAUUCCCUGCCUCAUCCCUCUCUCAUGCCUUAGCAUGAGGCCUGAGGCCAAGAGCCCGUCCAUCACAUACCCCUUGCCCAAAGCCUCCUUAUAACGGUCAGGAGAAGGGUGGCAUCUCCUCCUCUCCCUUCUAACUCAAGGAACAAAUCACUGGCUACAUGAUAGUUGCCCUUCCUCCCAUCCUUCCAGCAUAGUAGCCCCUGCCCAGGAUCCAAAAGGCAGAAGGUGAGUAAUUGCUAUUUUUAUUUAUCUUUGCACAAGGCUGCCCUCUGGUGGUCGAACAUGUAGGAGCGAAUGGGAAGGAUGGAAACCCCAGUAGCCAGGAACCAGCCCAGCUGGCUGAGCCAACCACGCUCAAGAGACUGGCCAGCGAGCCAGGGAGUAGGCCCAAACCAGAGGAAAUAACAUAAACCAGGACUCCUUGGAAAAGCCCUCGGAUGCCUCAGUGCCCCUCCCUGGAGUUUUGUCCUGUGCAGUGGCCGUCCAUCUUGCAUCCUUUAGAAGAAGCCUCUUGAAAGCGAGAACCAACAGGCCCAGGAAUCCCUGGAUCCACCUCACCUCCACUUGUGAGUCUAAACAAAAGGGCACUGAGGCCUGGAAAGGCUCUGGGUAAUUAGUGGUAGAAUUUGGAUCAGAACCCAGGUCUCCUGUCUCAAGCAGGGCAUAAGGCAUAAAGAAGCUAAAAGCACACAAACAACCCUGUAAACAGCAUCAGUGCCAUGGAGAGUAGAUUUAAGACUGUCCUGCCCAGAGGCCAGCUGAUCACACAGCUGUCACUGCUGGGACAUCCUGAAGAUGCUGGCAGAUCAUACCUUCCCCU
rnacentral:lncRNA from 1 species